rnacentral:lncRNA from 1 species
AUUUGUGUAUAUAGGGCAAAACCUAAUUUCAGCUUUUAUGUGUUCUGCAGGAAGAGUUAAAGGGAUCUGAAUUCAGCUCCUGUGAGGUUGACAGUAAGGUAUUUGAUGAAAGUCUGAACACCACACCGCCAUGUUCUGUGGACAUCUGUUUCCCCAGUGAAGAACUUUAUACAUCUAUAGAACCUGGGGCUUUGAGCACUUCCACUCUAAUUUACAAGAUGUUUGAAGACGUCCUGCAACAUGCAGACAAGGAAGGUGAAGAUGGAAAUAAGGAAGAGGGGGUGGAGAAAGAUGAGAGCAAUUCAUCUGAGACUGAAAAGGAAGACAAAACGGAAUCGGACACAGUUGAAAAGGAAGACAAACAGGAACCAGUCACAGUCACAUUAAAUGAGUAUCCUCUUGACCAGAGUGAGAUGUGUGAAGAGAGUGAAGAAACUCCUGAUGCCAGUUCUGCAACAGAGAAAGAGAAGGAGCUCCAGUCUGUUGAUGAUGGUGAAGGAGAGAUGGAAGAAAAGCAGGAGAGCACCCCCAUGGUUGAUGAGGACUUUCUAACCCUGCCACCCAGCUGUAUCCUCUCUCCUCUCAGCAAAUCUGUGGAGGCUGUUGUCACACCACUGAACAUUGAAAUCAUUGUGUCUGAGCCAUCAGUACAGCUGCCCUCACCUGAAGAAAUGACAGCUAGUCCUGCUGACUGCGGUCAACCUUUAUACAGCAUUGACGCCUACCGCUCACAGAGGAAGAUCCAUCCCCCCUCUACUCAGAGCUUGACCCCUGGAGUUCAGAAGCAGGUUCAAGAGAAGACCUGCUCAAAAAAGCCCAUAAACAUCAAGGAGAGAAUUAAGGUUUUAAACGAGGAGGCAGCCAAGUUGCA